rnacentral:rRNA from 1 species
GACAGAGGGUGCAAACGUUGUUCGGAAUUACUGGGCGUAAAGCGUGUGUAGGCGGCUAGGUAAGUCGGAUGUGAAAGCCCCGGGCUCAACUCGGGAAGUGCACUCGAUACUGCUUAGCUCGAGUACCGGAGAGGUUGGUGGAAUUCUCGGUGUAGAGGUGAAAUUCGUAGAUAUUCGGAAGAACACCAGUGGCGAAGGCGACAUACUGGCUCAUUACUGACGCUGAGGCUCGAAAGCGUGGGGAGCAAACAGG